rnacentral:rRNA from 1 species
AACGAACGCUGGCGGCGUGCCUAACACAUGCAAGUCGAACGUGAAAGGGGGCAACCCCCGGUAGCGUGGCAGACGGGUGAGUAACACGUGGGUAACCUACCCGGAGGUGGGGGAGUAACCUUCGAAGGAGGGCUAAUACCGCAUGACACCGCGGGGACCUCGGUCCCUGCGAUCAAAGCUGGCCUCUGUUUACAAGCUAGCGCCACCGGAUGGGCCCGCGCCCAUUAGCUAGUUGGUGAGGUAACGGCUCACCAAGGCGACGAUGGGUAGCCGGCCUGAGAGGGGCGAUCGGCCACACUGGGAACUGCGACACGGUCCAGACUCCUACGGGAGGCAGCAGUGAGGAUAUUGCGCAAUGGGCGAAAGCCUGACGCAGCGACGCCGCGUGGAGGAUGAAGGUCUUCGGAUUGGU